rnacentral:rRNA from 2 species
AAAUUGAAGAGUUUGAUCAUGGCUCAGAUUGAACGCUGGCGGCAGGCCUAACACAUGCAAGUCGAGCGGCAGCGGGAAAGUAGCUU